CCCACGGACCCCGGCCUGCUCAGCUGCGCCGUCGCCACGGCAACCAGCGCUCCUGAGGGCGGGCCGGCAAGGCCUUCUGCGGUUGCCUCAUGCCGAAGAUGAACAGGCAGUGGAAAUGUGUGCUCGGUUACUGAGGCGACCCUGGGGGUUUUGCUGACCCUAAUGCGCUCCAGCGUAAAUCACACCCACCUUAGAUUGUGCGGCCCUGGAAUGGAUUGAGCCUAAAGGACUGCACGGUGUUUAUGCUAGCAGCUAGCUCUGCUAAGACACAGCAACCCCCCCAGGAGACGUGUAUGGAGCAGGACCUUGGAGAGCGCGCGGAGACGAGCGGGCAGGCCUACCUUGCGCAGAGCAGCUCACGCGCUAAGCUCUUCCUACAGG